rnacentral:rRNA from 1 species
UACAGAGGUCUCAAGCGUUGUUCGGAUUCAUUGGGCGUAAAGGGUGCGUAGGUGGCGCUGUAAGUCGGGUGUGAAAUUUCGGAGCUUAACUCCGAAACUGCAUUCGAUACUGCGGUGCUUGAGGACUGGAGAGGAGACUGGAAUUCAUGGUGUAGCAGUGAAAUGCGUAGAGAUCAUGAGGAAGACCAGUGGCGAAGGCGGGUCUCUGGACAGUUCCUGACACUGAGACACGAAGGCCAGGGAGCAAACGGG